rnacentral:misc_RNA from 1 species
CAAAUAACAGUCCUGCCGUG